UUUGAAGAAUUAAAUGUGGGCUCUCAAAUG
rnacentral:piRNA from 1 species